ACUAGGAUUAGAUACCCUAUUAUAUUUAAAUAAUUAUAGGUAGUACCAAAUUCUCAAGGAAACCUAUGCAGUUUGGCGGCAUUUAAUCACUUUAGAGGAACCUGUCUUUUAAUCGAUACCCCGCGAUACCCCCUACUUUUAUUAAUAUCCUAUAUACCGCCAUCUCAAGGGUUAAUACCUACAUUUUACCCUAAAUAGAUUUCUAAAAAGUUAGGUAAAGGUGUAGACUAUAUAAAAGAUAACAUGGGUUACUAUAAAACACAUUUAAGGAUUUAUACCAAAAGUUAUACAUGAAAAAGGAUUUAUUAGUAAUAAAAGGAUAUUACCCUUCAAUGAAAUUGAUAAACAAUGUGCACACAU
rnacentral:rRNA from 1 species